UUAAGUGACUAAGCGUACACGGUGGAUGCCUGGGCAGUCAGAGGCGAUGAAGGACGUACUAACUUGCGAUAAGCGCAGAUAAGGCAGUAAGAGCCGUUUGAGUCUGCGAUUUCCGAAUGGGGAAACCCAACUGCAUAAGCAGUUACUGUUAACUGAAUACAUAGGUUAACAGAGCAAACCGGGGGAACUGAAACAUCUAAGUACCCCGAGGAGAAGAAAUCAACCGAGAUUCCGGUAGUAGCGGCGAGCGAACCUGGAUUAGCCCUUAAGCACUCGGUGAAGUAGGUGAACAAGCUGGAAAGCUUGGCGAUACAGGGUGAUAGCCCCGUAACCGACGCUUCAUCGAGCGUGAAAUCGAGUAGGGCGGGACACGUGAUAUCCUGUCUGAAUAUGGGGGGACCAUCCUCCAAGGCUAAAUACUCCUGACUGACCGAUAGUGAACCAGUACCGUGAGGGAAAGGCGAAAAGAACCCCUGUGAGGGGAGUGAAAUAGAACCUGAAACCGUGUACGUACAAGCAGUAGGAGCACCUUCGUGGUGUGACUGCGUACCUUUUGUAUAAUGGGUCAGCGACUUAUAUUCAGUGGCAAGGUUAACCGUAUAGGGGAGCCGUAGCGAAAGCGAGUCUUAACUGGGCGCUCAGUCUCUGGAUAUAGACCCGAAACCGGGUGAUCUAGCCAUGGGCAGGUUGAAGGUUGAGUAACAUCAACUGGAGGACCGAACCGACUAAUGUUGAAAAAUUAGCGGAUGACUUGUGGCUAGGGGUGAAAGGCCAAUCAAACUCGGAGAUAGCUGGUUCUCCCCGAAAGCUAUUUAGGUAGCGCCUCGGACGAAUACUACUGGGGGUAGAGCACUGUUAAGGCUAGGGGGUCAUCCCGACUUACCCAACCCUUUGCAAACUCCGAAUACCAGUAAGUACUAUCCGGGAGAUACACGGCGGGUGCUAACGUCCGUCGUGGAGAGGGAAACAACCCAGACCGCCAGCUAAGGUCCCAAAGUAUUGCUAAGUGGGAAACGAUGUGGGAAGGCUCAGACAGCUAGGAUGUUGGCUUAGAAGCAGC
rnacentral:rRNA from 1 species